ensembl:lncRNA
CAACAUGGCAGAUGCGAAUGCACGUAUCCGAUUCAAAUCAGAUUUAUUCCCACAUAUGAAUGAGGCCUGAAACGGAUCUGAGAAUAUCGGAAUCCAUGUGUUUUUUUCUUCUAGUGCUUUUACAUUCUUGGGGGAAAAAUGGAGUUGGGUCACUUGAAGAAUGUAGUGUAAAUGCAACCAAACUGUCAGGUGUGCGUUGGAUCUGGGCCAUAGCAAUUUUUCUAUCUGGGUUCAACUCCAUACAUGAACAAUAGUGAAAUGUAAACACUAAACUGAAGAAAUGCCAUACUGUAGCCUAUAAAACUCAGUAUGCACGGUCAUAAAAGGAACAAAAUGUUAAGCACGAACAUGUCCCAGCUCUCACUUAUACUAAAGCCUAUAACUCUAGAUUUAAAUCACCAUGUGUUCAUUAUGUGGCGUAUAAAUCUGGGGAACAUACGUACAGUACACUCACCAGUUAGCAGGCGACCUUACAGCGCGCCUAUUAUGGUUUUUCAAAAUUACCUUUCAUGUAGUGUGUUAUAGAGCUGUUUGUGAAUGUAAAAACGUCUGCGAAGUUUCAAAAAUCUCAGCGCACGACAAACGGCGUUAUCGUCUCCCAAAAGAAGGAAUCGAUUCUGAACCGAUGAAACCAGACUUCCUGUACUAACCUACGUAGGUUUGUAAGGAGAAAAAAAAAAAAAAAACCGCCUCUUUUCUCCAUCGGCUGCUUGCUAACAGCGGUAGACCAAUCACAACACACUUGUGUUGGCACAUCUGACCAAUCAGAGCAGCGUAUGCUCUCUGAAAGGAGGCGUUUAGAACGAAUCAUUUAGAACGGAUCGUUUUUUGACACUGGGGGGAAAAAUGUAAUGCUUCAGUUUAAAUUAUGACAUUAUUAUUAGAUUAUUAAAGUGUUGUUUAUUUAUUUAUUUAUUUUUUUUACCUCGGAUGCAUGUAAAUCUACUAUGAGACCUCUAAAACAAAAUUAGGCACGUUUCAAAAACCAUAAUAGGUGCACUUUAAUGUUACUUUAUCCCAUUUGACAAGGACGGGUCAGAGGGUUUGGGGAGCGUUUGACGGAGAUUUGGCAACCCCGUGAGAAACAUUGAGGAAGAUUUGUUUACAUUGUGCCGCUUUUCUGUGAAGCAGCUGCUUUAGUUCUGAUCCAGAUAGCCUGUCGAGCACCAGAUAAUCCGGGCUCGUCGCUUGAUGUGCUUCAUCGAGUUGAUCCAACAUGGCGCGUAAUUCAGCAUGCCAGACUCCUUUAGACCCAGUGAGAAGGUUGCCAGUGAAGACAGGAAUCACUGUGCUGGUUACUGUUGUGUUUUUUAAAUGUUUAUUCUCGUGUCCGUGCGCGAGUCCGGAGGAAACCGCUGUGCACUGCUGGCUGUACCUGCUGCUUCCUGUAGGCAUCACCUUCUUCCUCGUCAUCCUGGUGGACACCCAGCUGCUGAAGCUGUGCCAGUGUUAUGUGUGCAGAUGUUGCGCGCGAGCAGAGAGCAGAUGUUGCGCGGCAGGCUGCUGUGACAGUGUGGAGUGCUGCUGCUGUGCUGCUGGUUACUGUUACAGACCGACACACUGCUGCGGGGAAGAGGUGCGUUACUGCUGCGCUCUUCUCGGGACCUACCUGCGGAGGGUUUUCUGCGCCUCGGCGCUGUGGAUCGUGGUCGCGCUGAUAGACGGAGACUGGUACGUCUGCAUCCGCACUGUGACUGCCGGCGGCACCGGACAGCAACAGAUCGCCUGCAAGGACCUCCCAACACCGGAGGAAGCAGAAACUCUGAGGAAAUACAAUAAUUAUCGCUUUGAUCAUCAUCCUGGGUCUUUCCUUCCUGCUGGUGAUUCCGUUCUGACCCACAUCCUCAUUUACGGCAUUAUCCAGAGCGACUUAGAUUCAUCUCGUUCAUACGACUGAGCAGUUGAUGAUUAAGGGCCUUGCUCAAGGGCCCAACAGUGGCAACUUGGACCUUCUGGUCAGAAAUCCGAUGUCAUAUCCACUGAGCUACCGCUGCCACGAGUGACUGUUUUGAGCGAGCAUGUCUUGAUGAAGCGAGACGACAAACAGUGCAUGUUUUUAUAGCAGUUUACAAUGGACAAAAAUCUGCAGCUCGUCAGAGUUACAUUGGUUUAGGAUUAGGAUUAGCGUCAGGAUUAGGAUUAGCGUCAGGAUUAGGAUUAGCGUCAGGAUUAGGGUUAAUGCUUGUGCAUUGUUCUGUAUAUCAUCACAUGGCUGUGUAAUAUUUAGAUUCCAGAAACAAUAGGACUCCUGAAUAUGGAGAGUAAGUACUGCAUAUGUUUAGGGUUAAAGGAAAAAAAAAUGUUACGUGUUCAUUAUUGUACUGUUUGAUGUAUCGGAAGCUUAUUAUUAUUAUUUAUUUUGUGUGUGAAAAUUGUCUUCUUCAGCUGUACCGAAUCCCUUCAAUAACCAUGUGGGUUUUAUCGGCAGCCCGAGCCAAACCUUUGACCUCAUAACCUGAUGAUCACUGACCCACGGGAUUUCUGUGCUGUCUCCAAAGAGGUCACGUCUUUAUCUUUGUUACGUAACAGUAUCGAAAGCGGUUACACUCCGGGAUACUUGUUUGUUAGACAGUAAUGCUUUUUUUUUUGGAAAUUUUUACGCAUAGAUCUGCAUAACAGUUAUGUGUAAUUAUGUUUUAAUGGAACUAUAUCAGUUUGCAAUAAUGACAUAAAUAUUAAACAACCCAACAGACUGCUGGCCUCUCUCUCUCUCUCGCUCUCUCUCUCUCUCUCUCUCUCUCUCUCUCUCUCUCGCUCUCUCUCUCUCUCUCUCUCUCUCUCUCUCGCUCUCUCUCUCUCUCUCUCGCUCUCUCUCUCUCGCUCUCUCUCUUUUU